UACGUAGGGUGCGAGCGUUGUCCGGAAUUAUUGGGCGUAAAGAGCUCGUAGGCGGUCUGUCGCGUCUGCUGUGAAAACUCGGGGGCUUAACCCCGGGCCUGCAGUGGGUACGGGCAGACUAGAGUGCGGUAGGGGGAGACUGGAAUUCCUGGUGGUAGCGGUGAAAUGCGCAGAUAUCAGGAGGAACACCGGUGGCGAAGGCGGAUCUCUGGGCCGACACUGACGCUGAUGCGCGAAAGCCAGGGGAGCGAACGGG
rnacentral:rRNA from 1 species